GCAGUAGGCCACGAGCAUGUUAGACAGGAACUAGAAGGAGUUUCCAGGCAGCAGAAGAAAAAGUAAAUGCGAAGUAAAUUUAGUGAAAGACUCGUACAGUUUAAUGGAAAUACUUGGAACGAGUUCAAAUUGAAAUGCGGAAAUAACCAAGAUUAGACAAAAUCAUACAAGAUUCGUUUUUAGAAAGGAGAAACAAGGGAAAAGCAACAAUAACGACGGAAAUAAGUCAGGAAAAGGAUAGAAAUAAGUCGUGAGGUGUAGUAGGGCACGAGCAUGGUAGACAGGAAACCGAAGGAGUUUCCAGGCAGCGGAACAAGAAGUCAAUGCGAAGGAUAUUUAGUGAAAGACUCAUAAACUUAAGGGGAAAACAUGGAAUAAGUUCC
rnacentral:lncRNA from 1 species